GACGAACGCUGGCGGCGUGCUUAACACAUGCAAGUCGAACGGAAAGGCCUUUUCGGAGGUACUCGAGUGGCGAACGGGUGAGUAACACGUGGGUGAUCUUCCCUGCACUCUGGGAUAAGCCUGGGAAACUGGGUCUAAUACCGGAUAGGACCGCACUUUAGUGUGUGUGGUGGAAAGUUUUUUCGGUGUAGGAUGAGCCCGCGGCCUAUCAGCUUGUUGGUGGGGUAAUGGCCUACCAAGGCGGCGACGGGUAGCCGGACUGAGAGGUUGGUCGGCCACAUUGGGACUGAGAUACGGCCCAGACUCCUACGGGAGGCAGCAGUGGGGAAUAUUGCACAAUGGGCGCAAGCCUGAUGCAGCGACGCCGCGUGGGGGAUGACGGCCUUCGGGUUGUAAACUCCUUUCGCCAGGGAAGAAGCGUUUUGUGACGGUACCUGGAGAAGAAGCACCGGCUAACUACGUG
rnacentral:rRNA from 1 species